AUGUCAUGAUGUGGACAUUUCCUUAUCAAAUCAUUCAAUCGCUCACAUGCUUCAUGUAGGGGUUCUCCAUCCCCUUGAGAAAAUUUACGAAUGAUUGUGCGCAU